AAACAAUUCUGCCUGGGCAAUCUUUCACUAUAACUGUGGUUAUUUUAACUUAAAUGUGUUGUUGCAUGGAUAUUUCUCAUUGGCAUUCAUUGUGUGUUUAACAGGCUGCUUUUUCUAGCAGUUAUUCCACUUGUUGGAAGCUGGCUAGGAACACCCACAUUUUCAAGCAUAGCUAGAACUCUACUCUAAACUUCACCCAGAAGUCAUCAAAAUCCCUGG
rnacentral:lncRNA from 12 species